ACUCCUACGGGAGGCAGCAGUGGGGAAUUUUGGACAAUGGGCGAAAGCCUGAUCCAGCAAUGCCGCGUGAGUGAAGAAGGCCUUCGGGUUGUAAAGCUCUUUUGUCAGGGAAGAAACGGUGAAAGCUAAUAUCUUUUGCUAAUGACGGUACCUGAAGAAUAAGCACCGGCUAACUACGUGCCAGCAGCCGCGGUAAUACGUAGGGUGCAAGCGUUAAUCGGAAUUACUGGGCGUAAAGCGUGCGCAGGCGGUUUUGUAAGUCUGAUGUGAAAUCCCCGGGCUCAACCUGGGAAUUGCAUUGGAGACUGCAAGGCUAGAAUCUGGCAGAGGGGGGUAGAAUUCCACGUGUAGCAGUGAAAUGCGUAGAUAUGUGGAGGAACACCGAUGGCGAAGGCAGCCCCCUGGGUCAAGAUUGACGCUCAUGCACGAAAGCGUGGGGAGCAAACAGGAUUGGAAACCCCUGUAGUCC
rnacentral:rRNA from 1 species